GGGGGAUUAGCUCAGCUGGGAGAGCGCUUGCAUGGCAUGCAAGAGGUCAUCGGUUCAAAUCCGUUAUCCUCCA
rnacentral:tRNA from 1 species